rnacentral:rRNA from 1 species
AUUGAACGCUGGCGGCAUGCUUUACGCAUGCAAGUCGAACGGCAGCGCGGGGCAACCUGGCGGCGAGUGGCGAACGGGUGAGUAAUACAUCGGAACGUACCCAGAAGUGGGGGAUAACGUAGCGAAAGUUACGCUAAUACCGCAUACGUUCUACGGAAGAAAGUGGGGGACCUUCGGGCCUCAUGCUUUUGGAGCGGCCGAUGUCUGAUUAGCUAGUUGGUAGGGUAAAGGCCUACCAAGGCGACGAUCAGUAGCUGGUCUGAGAGGACGACCAGCCACACUGGGACUGAGACACGGCCCAGACUCCUACGGGAGGCAGCAGUGGGGAAUUUUGGACAAUGGGCGCAAGCCUGAUCCAGCAAUGCCGCGUGAGUGAAGAAGGCCUUCGGGUUGUAAAGCUCUUUUGUCAGGGAAGAAACGGCUGAGGAUAAUACCUUCGGCUAAUGACGGUACCUGAAGAAUAAGCACCGGCUAACUACGUGCCAGCCGCCGCAGUAACAC